rnacentral:rRNA from 1 species
UACUAGGUGUGGGAGGAUUCUACCCGUUCCGUGCCGCAGCUAACGCAAUAAGUAUCCCGCCUGGGGAGUACGACCGCAAGGUUGAAACUCAAAGGAAUUGACGCGGGCCCGCACAAGCGGUGGAGCAUGCGGUUUAUUUCGAGGCAACGCGAAGAACCUUACCAGGGCUUGACAUCACCGUAAGGAACCGUGGCUCCUUGGAAACAGGGAGUCUUAGGUAGACAGGUGUUGCAUGGCUGUCGUCAGCUCGUGUCGUGAGAUGCGGGGUUAAGUCCCGCAACGAGCGCAACCCCUAUCUCUAGUUGCCAGCGGUCCGGCCGGGGACUCUAGAGAAACUGCCGUCUCAAAACGGAGGAAGGUGGGGACGACGUCAAGUCAUCAUGGCCCUUAUCUCCUGGGCUACACGCGUGCUACAAUGGGUAAUACAAAUGGAUGCAAUACCGAAAGGUGGAGCAAAUCCCAAAAAAUUAGUCCCAGUUCAGAUUGGGGUCUGUAACUCGACCCCAUGAAGGCGGAAUCGCUAGUAAUCGCGUAUCAGCUACGACGCGGUGAAUACGUUCCCGGGCCUUGCACACACCGCCCGUCACAUGACCCGAGUUGGCUGCUCCCGAAGUCGCAUAUCUAACCUCGUGAGGAAUGUGCCGAAGGAGUGGCUGGUAAGGGGGAUGAAGUCGUAACAAGGUAGCCGUAUCGGAAGGUGCGGCUGGAUCACCU